rnacentral:rRNA from 1 species
AAAGUCUAAAACGACUCUCGGCAAUGGAUAUCUCGGCUCUCGAAUCGAUGAAGAACGUAGCAAAAUGCGAUACUUUAUGUGAAUUGCAGAAUUCCGUGAACCAUUGAGUCUUUGAACGCAAGUUUCGCCCCAAGCCUUCUGGCCGAGGGCACGUCUGCCUGGGUGUCACAAAUCGUCGUCCCCCCAUCCUCUCCAGGAUAUGGGAUGCAAGCUGAUCUCCUGUGUGUUACCGCACGCGGUUGGCCACAAUCCGAGCUAAGGACGCCAGGAGGGUCUUGACAUGCUGUGGUGAAUUCAAUUCUCGUCAUAUAGUCAGACGUUCCGGUCCAAAAGCUCUUGAUGACCCAAAAUCCUCAACGCGACCCCAGGUCAGGCGGGAGCACCCGCUGAGUUUAAGCAUAUCAAUAAGCGGAGGAAAAGAAACUAACAAGGAUUCCCUUAGUAACGCGAGCGAACCGGGGAGAGCCCAGCUUGAAGAUCAGACGUCUUUGGCGUUCGAAUUGUAGUCUGGAGAUGCGUCCUCAGCGACGGACCGGUGCACCAGAGAGGGUGAGAUCCCCGUCGUGCCCGGACACUGUCACACCACGACGCGCUAUCUACGAGUCAGGUUGUUUGGGAAUGCAGCCCCAAUCGGGCGGUAAAUUCCAUCCAAGGCUAAAUAUGGGCGAGAGACCGAUUGCGAACAAGUACCGCGAGGUAAAGAUGAAAAGGACUUUGAAAGGAGAGUCAAAGAGUGCUUGAAAUUGUGUGGAGGGAAGCGGAUGGGGGCCGGCGAUUCGUCCCGGUCAGAUGCGGAAUGGAGCAAUCCGAUCCGCCGAUCGAUUCUGGCCGUGGACCGACAUGGAUUAAGGUGGUGACCUAAGCCUGGGCUUUUGUUACGCCCGCGGAGACGUCGCUGCCUUAAUCGUGGUCUGCAUCACGCGCCUAAUGGCGUACCUCGGCAUCUGCAUGCUCAGGGCAUCGGCUUGUGGGCUCCCCAUUCGACCCAUCUUGAAACACAGACCAAGGAGUCUGACAUGUGUUCGAGUCAAUGGGUGAGUAAACCCAUAAGGCGCAAGGAAGCUGAUUGGCUGGAUCCCUCACGGGUGCACAGCCAACCGACCUUGAUCUUUUGUGAAUGGUUCGAGUGUGAGCAUGCCUGUUGGGACCCGAAAGAUGGUGAACUAUGCCUGAGCGGGGCAAAGCCAUAGGAAACUUUGGUGGAGGCCCGCAGCGAUACUGACGUGCAAAUCGUUUGUCUGACUUGGGUAUAGGGGCAAAAGACUAAUCGGACCAUAUAGUAGCUGGUUCCCUCCGAAGUUUCCCUCAGGAUAGCUGGAGCUCGGAAACGAGUUCUAUCGGGUAAAGCCAAUGAUUAGAGGCAUUGGGGAUGCAAUGUCAUCGACCAAUUCUCAAACUUUAAAUAGGUAGGACGGUGUGGCUGAUUUGAUGAGCCAUCCCACGGAAUCGAGAGCUCCAACUGCACGCUAACCUAGAACCCACAAAGGGUGUUGGUCGAUUAAGACAGCAGGACGGUGGUCAUGGAAGUCGAAAUCCGCUAAGGAGUGUGUAACAACUCACCUGCCAAAUCAGCUAGCCCCGAAAAUGGAUGGCGCUGCAGCGCGUGACCUAUACCCGGCCCUCGGGGCAAGAGCCAGGCCUCGAUGAGUAGGAGGGCACGGUGGUCACUGCAAAACCUAGGGCGCAAGCCCGGGCGGAGCGGCCGUCGGUGCAGAUCAUGGUGGUAGUAGCAAAUAUUCAAAUGAGAACUUUGAAGACCGAAGAGGGGAAAGGUUCCAUGUGAACGGCCCUUGCACAUGGGUUAGUCGAUCCUAAGAGUCGGGGGAAACCCGUCUGAUACCGCUUAUGCGCGAACUUCGAAAGGGGAUCCGAUUAAAAUUCCAGAACCGGGACGUGGCGGUUGACGGCAACGUUAGGAAGUACGGAGACGUCGGCGGGAAUUCCGGAAAGAGUUAUCUUUUAUGUUUAACAGCCUGCCCACCCUAGAAACGGCUCAGCCGGAGGUAGGGUCCAGCGGCUGGAAGAGCACCGCACGUCGCGUGGUGUCAGGUGCAUUCCCGGCAAACCGAGUGCCGUUUACACCCGGUCGUACUCAUAACCGCAUCAGGUCUUCAAGGUGAACAGCCUCUGGUCGAUGGAACAAUGUAGGCAAGGGAAGUCGGCAAAAUGGAUCCGUAACUUCGCGAAAAGGAUUGGCUUUGAGGGCUGGGCUCGGGGGUCCCAGUUCCGAACCCGUCGACUAUUGGCGGGCUGCUUGAACUGCUAACGUGGCGAGAUCGGUUCACUUCAUGUCGGCCGGGGGAUGGACUGGGAAAGGCUCUUUCGGGAUCUUUCCCCGAGCGUCGAACAGCCAACACAGAACUUGUACGGACAAGGGGAAUUUGACUGUUUAAUUAAAACAAAGCAUUGCGAUGGUCCCCGUGGAUGCUAACGCAAUGUGAUUUCUGCCCAUUGCUCUGAAUGUCAAAGUGAAGAAAUUCAACCAAGCACGGGUAAAUGGCAGGAGUAACUAUGACUCUCUUAAAGUAGCCAAAUUCCUCGUCAUCUAAUUAGUGACGCGCAUGAAUGGAUUAACGAGAUUCCCACUGUCCCUGUCUACUAUCCAGUGAAACCACAGCCAAGGGAACGUGCUUGUCAGAAUCAGCGGGGAAAGAAGACCAUGUUGAGCUUGACUCUAGUCCGACUUUGUGAAAUGACUUGAGAGGUGUAGAAUAAGUGGGAGCUCCGGCGCAAGUGAAAUACCACUACUUUUAACGUUAUUUUACUUACUCCGUGAAUCGAAGGGGGGGGGGGGUAACAAGCCCUUCUUUUAGACCCAAGACUCGCUUCGGCGGGUCAAUCCGAGCGGAGGACAUUCUCAGGUGGGGAGUAUGGCUGGGGCGGCACAUCUGUUAAAGAUAAUGCCGGUGUCCUAAGAUGCACUCAACGAGAACAUAAAUCUCAUGUGGAACAAAAGGGUAAAAGCUCUUUCGAUUCGGAUUUUCAGUACGAAUACGUACCGUAAAAGCGUGGCCAAUCGAUCCUUUAGCCCUUCGGAAUUUGAAGCUAGAGGUGUUAGACGUCAUGUGUGUACUGAACAGAUAGCCCACAUUGGCCAAAAUCACCCAAACAGUCCAUGGGAAGGGCCAGCGUGCUGAGUCCAAGGACCAAUGUGCUGAUAUGUGUACUGAUGGACAGUCACGGACGUCCUGUGUGUGCUGACAGACACACGCGGACACACACGGACAGCCACGGACAUCCCGUGUGUGCUGACGGACAGCCACAGACGUCCUGUGUGUGCUGACGAACUCCCACGGACGUCCUGUGUGUACUGAACAGACAGCCCGCGUGGGCCGAAAUCACCCG